AUUGAACGCUGGCGGCAGGCCUAACACAUGCAAGUCGAGCGGAGCGGCGGACGGGUGAGUAAUGCCUAGGAAUCUGCAUGGUGGUGGGGGAUAACGUCGGGGAACGGGAGCUAAUACCGCAUACUAUCAGAUGAGCCUAGGUCGGAUUAGCUGGGUGGUGGGGUAAAGGCCUACCAAGGCGACGAGCCGUAACUGGUCUGAGAGGAUGAUCAGUCACACUGGAACUGAGACACGGUCCAGACUCCUACGGGAGGCAGCAGUGGGGAAGAUUGGACAAUGGGCGAAAGCCUGAUCCAGCCAUGCCGCGUGUGUGAAGAAGGUCUUCGGAUUGUAAAGCACUGUAAGUUGGGAGGCGUUACCAACAGAAUAAGCACCGGCUAACUACGUGCCAGCCGCCGCGGUAAUAC
rnacentral:rRNA from 1 species